CCUACGGGGGGCAGCAGUCGAGAAUCAUUCACAAUGGGGGAAACCCUGAUGGUGCGACGCCGCGUGGGGGAAUGAAGGUCUUCGGAUUGUAAACCCCUGUCAUGUGGGAGCAAAUUAAAAAGAUAGUACCACAAGAGGAAGAGACGGCUAACUCUGUGCCAGCAGCCGCGGUAAUACAGAGGUCUCAAGCGUUGUUCGGAAUCGCUGGGCGUAAAGCGUGCGUAGGCUGUUUCGUAAGUCGUGUGUGAAAGGCGCGGGCUCAACCCGCGGACGGCACAUGAUACUGCGAGACUAGAGUAAGGGAGGGGGAACCGGAAUUCUCGGUGUAGCAGUGAAAUGCGUAGAUAUCGAGAGGAACACUCGUGGCGAAGGCGGGUUCCUGGACAUUAACUGACGCUGAGGCACGAAGGCCAGGGGAGCGAAAGGGAUUAGAUACCCGAGUAGUC
rnacentral:rRNA from 1 species